rnacentral:lncRNA from 1 species
CUUAGAAAAAAAAAAUCUCACUUAAGAUCUAGGACAUUUGUAAUUUUUACCAACACUCACCGCACCGACCACGAUUUUCCUUAGUUGUAUAUGGAAGUGUUUGACACUCGUCCUCCACCUAGACCACAAGCUCCUUGAGGGCAGGAGGGACCACGAGAUCCUCAAUACCUGCCACGGUCUGGGCAAGUCCUACCGAUUGCUCAAGACGCUGUCCAAACCUCUCCCUGAGAAACUCCCUUUGCCCCUCGCUUGGUCGACCCAUGAGCCAGCCUGGAACUUGACCAUGGCCCUCACUGUGCUCCCAGUGAUGAUCCAGUCUCACAGUAGCGGUCCGUGGAUCUCUGAGGGCAAGAAACUCAUCUUUGUUGGGUUUGUUUCCCCUUCACCCAGCACAGGGCCUGGCCUGCAGGAGGUUCAUGAAUGAAUGGUUCCCACCCAGUUCCCUGGGGUCUGGGGUUUACCCUUUAAUCCCUGACAAAUUCAGAGGCUGAGCCAGAAGAGCCUGUCUGUCCUUUCUCCAGAGUGAUGGCUCCAGCCCAAUGACCCUGCCCAGUCAGUCAGUGCCCCUCUGCUUUGUCAUCCACAUACCUCUGACUGUUCCCCUGACAACCAACAAAUGUAGCUGUCACAAAGUAGUUCCUCUGGUCGGCUAUGCAAACUGGGCUUUCUAUAGAUUAUGCAAAACCAAACCAUUUAAAUAUCUCCUUCCUCUUCGACUGGUGUGUUUUAGUUAGGUCUUUCUCAUAUCUGGAGUUGGGAGCAACAUCUUUGUUUUCUAAUUAAUACUUAAAAUACAUAAAAGGUAAGAAGAAAGAAAGUGGGCGGCCCUAAACACUCCAGUACACCCAGCUGAGGAAAUAAAAUGGGACCCUCAUCCCUGGGCCUUUUCUUUAGUGAAGGACUAACUCCAUCUAAGGCCUUUCCAGAAUCUCCUGUCUUUCCAGGGACCUGAGAAAUCGGCUUCAUUGUCCUAGACACAAUGUCCAGGGAGGAGUCCUCAUCUCGACUCUCUCCUAAGGAGAGCGGGUCUUCCUCUGCCCUCAGGUCUGGGCAGGCCCUGGGCACAUCCCUUCAAGGACAGACUCAGAAAAGCCCUGAACUGAGAGGAUCUGAUCAAGGAGGGAAUCCAGACUUCCCCUUGGCACAGGGAGGCCCUCCCAACCGUCCCACCCUUUGGGCUUUGUGAAGGGUGGUAGUGGGGCUCAAAUACUACGGGGGAGGCACCCUGGAAAAGACAGAAGGAAACAAAAGGAAGAAAGGAGACCUGAGUGUCCGGAACAAGUGGGCCAUGUUGUCCUCCAUUUGAGGUCAUCUCCCCGAAGAAAUGUACCCGAGAAGUCAAGUCAGUCCUUUGUGUCCCUUCUGUGAGCCAGAUAUGGAGCUAAGGUUGGGGUUUAAACAUGAAUGGAACUCACAGGAAGUGGGCGAGUUGGAGUCGAUCAGCAUUUAUGAGAAAGGAUGGUAGGAUCUCCUAUCAGGUGCACGUGCCGUGUGGGGAAGAAGCUUCUAGAUCACGAUUGGGCAUGGGGUCGGCUUCCUGGAGGGCAGGCCCUGCACUGAGGAGCACAGGCCGGGCGGUGGCUUCCCAACACUGGUGGAGCAGCGGCUGGUUCUACCCAUCUGGAGCAAAAGGGGGUUGUGGGUGGUGGCCUGAGAUGCGGCCAGAGCGACGUCACAAAGGACUUGUGUGCUAAGCUGAGGAGUGGGAGCCCUCUGAGAGCUGGAGGGGGAGAGACCUGAAGAGAACUGGAAAGCCCCAAGAAACAGGUGAUGGUGAAUGGAAGGAGUAAGAACAAGGAGGAGGCAGUGGCCAGGCCAAGGUGAGAAGCCAUGACAGAGAACUAAGGUGGCGGUGGUGGGAAGGGAGAGGAGGGAAGGCAGGAGCCAGUGGGUGGCGAGUGUGAGGAGGGAGGUUCUCAGGCUUUGGGUUUCCAUGACUGUGGGCCAGCUGCCGUCCAUCCACAGGAUUCCAGAGGAGCAGACAGCAGCAUGCCUCUUUGGAUGACCAGACAGAGUUGAGUUGUAACUGGAAGGGAUGAGACUUUCUAGAAUCUUCUUUAAAUAUGAAAGAUAUUUAAAAUAACAAAAAGGUCGCAGAAGGGCCAACAAGAUUAGGAUGUGGCUACUAA